ensembl:lncRNA
AGAUCAGACCAUGUGAGGGGCCGAGAGUACAAAUAACGGCCGCGCCAGCGCCGGAACAGACAGCGGCGCCCGGGUGCCUCGACGGCGCGAGGGUCGCCGGCUCCGAAGCCCCGGACCAGCCUCCGCGGACUCCCGGCAGGAGUUGCUCAUAACAGUUGCCAAGAAAUUGGGAUCCUUAGGGGCUGAACCCUAGAGGACCCUGAAGAACAUACAUUGCCACUCUCUCCCCACAGAGUUCACCAGCCCACGCACAUUCUCCAGCUUCUUGCAGAGUGCCCCAAGGGAGGAAGCAAAUAAAGUCUAGAACAACACAGGACUCCUGCAGCAGGGGGGUGACAGAACCACUGGCUGGCUAAACGGUUAUUCCCCCGCUAACGUGUCCUUCCCAGACAGGUGGUUUUCCUCCUAGAGAGCGUGGU